UACGGAGGGGGCUAGCGUUGUUCGGAAUUACUGGGCGUAAAGCGCACGUAGGCGGAUCUUUAAGUCAGGGGUGAAAUCCUGGAGCUCAACUCCAGAACUGCCUUUGAUACUGGGGAUCUCGAGUCCGGAAGAGGUGAGUGGAACUCCGAGUGUAGAGGUGAAAUUCGUAGAUAUUCGGAAGAACACCAGUGGCGAAGGCGGCUCACUGGUCCGGUACUGACGCUGAGGUGCGAAAGCGUGGGGAUCGAACAGG
rnacentral:rRNA from 1 species